rnacentral:lncRNA from 12 species
UGUCUACCCUAAAUUUGUUCUCAUUCAUAUAAUAUGAUCUAAAAAUAUGUUAUUUGUGUUGUCUUACUCCAGGUGUAAAAUAAACAUCAUCUGCUGAAAUCCAGAACGCUUCGUUAAAUUCUUUGGGUUUUUCUCAGGAAGAUCAGGAACGGUUGGAGAAAUUUUGAUAAGGCAUACUCUUAAAUUAUUCUGUAAAGAAGAUAUGGAGGGAACAGUUUAUCUAGAGAGCAUGUGAGCUUAGGUAACUCCUCAGUAUUCUUGCCACAGUGGGAAUAUGUAAUUAUACUUUAAUAAAUCAUCAAUGUUACUUAGAUUUAUGUGUUGG